GAUGAAGAACGUAGCGAAAUGCGAUACGUAAUGUGAAUUGCAGAUUUCAGUGAAUCAUCGAAUCUUUGAACGCACAUUGCGCCCGCUAGUAUUCUGGCGGGCAUGCCUGUUCGAGCGUCAUUUCAACCAUCAAGCCCUAGGCUUGCGUUGGAGCCCUGCGGCUGCCGCAGGCUCCCAAAUCCAGUGGCGGGCUCGUCGUCGUACCGAGUGCAGUAAACAUCCUCGCUCAUGGAACGUGACGGGUUCUUGCCGUGAAACCCCCCACAUAUCAAGGUUGACCUCGGAUCAGGUAGGAAUACCCGCUGAACUUAAGCAUAUCAAUAGCGGAGGA
rnacentral:misc_RNA from 1 species